rnacentral:lncRNA from 1 species
GGGGCGGCCGCAGUCUGCUCGCCCGGGCGACAGACGCUCCGAGAUGCCGAAGGGCCAGCAGCGGCCCCGAAGCUCCGGGCUGGCCGCGCUGUCGCUCUGCCGCGCCCCGGUCUCGAAGUGAAGGUGCCUCUUCCUGGCUAGCCCACCUACAUGCUGUCAUCACUGGGCUUCUGCAACUCUCAGUCUUUGUGGCUGCACCCUUCCCUUCUGAAUCCUGAGGACCCAUGAGUGUCAGGCCCAUCAUGAAAUUGGUCGUCUUACUGGGUCUUUCCCCUGCAGCUUUCCCGAGGCUGUACAGCAUUUAUUGGUGCUCAUCUGUUUGAGUAGAGCUGGCAUAGAGGACUGCCACCGGCUGGGAGGGGCCAUGGUACCAGAGGUCUUGGGUGCCUGAAGAUACUCCCCCUAGCCCUGAUGCCUUGGAAGAGAAGCCCUUCAAGACAAGCUGAUGCCAGGCCCUGGCCAGAGGUGGGGACAGAUGGCAUUUCCUGCUCAGUGUGUGGGCCUGGGCCCCAUUGCUUGGGGGAGUUCCAUGAGUGUUAACAGGAUUCAAAGGAAGAGGUAGGAACUUAGGGGCGAUCCUGUUGGAAAGAUAUCAUUUGGAGAAGUGAGGGGGAGCUUGAAGCAAAGGGGUCUGUGUCCUGAGGAAAGUCUGGUACCCUCUGAUACCUCUUUCCCCAUUGAUGCUGACUGAUCUUGCUUUUGGGCUGAUCUGUCAAGAAGACUGGCAUGUUUCCACUGGAGAUCUGUCCUUUUUUUCUCCCCAGUGCCCCCACUGUUGGUCAGUGGGCAUUGUGAGGAUCAAGGCUACUGGACACUGAGUAGCAACUCAGAAUCCAUCUCGGGGAGGUUCUGAGGGUCAGCCUGGGCAUGGAGAGAGGCAGGUGGCACUUCUUGGUGGGUGUGGUAGCAGAGAAAUCCUAGAAGUUGCAACCGCACCCCUCCUCGUCUGGAGUGACAGGGGAGUGGCCUGAGCCCUGCUCCCCAGCUGUCCAAGGCAAACUGACUGGAGUCCAUCUGGCUGUCCCCACCAGAUCAGGCUCCCUUCCCAUCCUGGAACACCAAAGCUGCUAAGUCUGCAGAAAGCACAGCAGAGGGAUGCCUAGAUCAGGGGUCUACCUAGGCACACCUGGAGCUAAGCUGCAUGGGGGGUGGGGGGUGAGGGUGGGGAGAUGCCCAAGGGCAGCCAAGGGUACCUUCAAUGGCCUUUCUUCCUAGGUUCUAUGUAAUGGUGGCUACACACUUCCCUGAUGACUGUCAUUUAAGGCAUACAUAAUUCUCCUUCCAGAACCUGUCUCUUCAUUGUUAUCAUGGUCAUCUAUUCACAAUAUCCUCUGUCACUUUAGAAUAUAUUGCUUAUAAAAAGACUUGAGAGGUAUCUUGGGUUGCAUAAGCCUCCAAAGUUCCCGAGCUUUUAUUCUCAGGCUCUGUAUACUUGUUUUCUAUCUGAUUCAAGACAGACCCUUCUCUUCUAUAUCAGUAUCCAUAUCAAAUGUACAUAGUACAGAUUCAACAGUGGAAAUGACUGGGGCAAAUGUGAUGAGUUUCUAAGUUGUGACCCUCACCAGGCAGGAGAACUGGAGGCCAGGACUCAGCCACUAAUGUAGGCUCCCAGCAGCCCCUGGCCCUCCCUGCCUGAGCCCAAGUUCAGGCUCUGUGCAUCUGUCUGUGCCUUCACUUCCUACCACUUCCCCGGACUCGCCUCUUCCCACGCACCAUGUUGUAUAAAUAUUUACACCCCAGGAAUCCUUCUCCAGCUGCUCCUCUGGUCCCUGUGAGUGCUUGCUCUCUCACCUAGCAGCUGCAGCAGAUCUGGUUGCCUUUGGUCAGACAAGGGCAGGCCCUGGUGUGGGGGCCCAUGGUUCCUCCAGGGUAGAGAGUGCAGUUGGCAGAAGUGACACUGGAGAGGUCACAGGGCUGUGAAUGAGGCUCAGUCACUCUCCCUGUUGGCUAGCUUCUCUAGCCAGCCCCCCACUCCCACCCCCUCCACCCCAGCUGUCCAUGGGCAAUUUGCCAAGAGCUGUGGAUCCCUGGUCUGGCUUGAGACAUUCCUGCUUGUGGCUCUCAGGGUUGGGAUCUGUGGCAUCCCAGCCUUCUAGACAGUAACAGAGCCAACUGUCUGACACCAGGACAGAAUAGUAGCUGCGUUUACUUCUUAACACUACAACUUACUAGGCUAUGGGAUGGUCUUCAUCUGCCCCGAAGACCACCCUGAGAUCAGGACAAGAACCUGCUGGCAGAUCUCCAUAUUGGGCACCUCCUUCACUUUUUUCAUAGAUCAUCCUACCUCCUACUGGUUCCUAAGCAGGGACAGGAGUAGAGGGCUCCUUCCCCAUUUUCCUUGAUAACCCAGGGAGCAUAAGUUUGCUAGAGCACCAGGCUGGCAUUUGGGUUCUGACAGGCAGACCCACUGCAGGGUGCUUUCCCAAAUUCUCAUGGGCUUGUUCGAGCCUUGAGGGCGGCAGGUUCAAACCUUCCCUGGGCAUGAGCGGUUUCUCUUUCAGCCUUGGGUGUUGGCAGCCACGGAAGGCAAGCUCGGGCCUUUUCUAGCUCAGUUGGGGCUUCUGAGAGUCAGCCAUAGACUGAAUGUUGGUCUUCCCCAUCCAUCUUGGGUAUGGUCACCUGCUGCCUCCCCCCCCCCCCCCACCUCAGUUUCCCCCUUCGUCAGAAGUAAUGAACAUGUUGUAUUCCAACUCCCCUCUCAAACGCUGCGAACCAAGUUUUAGAAAAGCAACAUGGUGGUUUCAUUUAAAAUUCUUUUUUCUGGUUGUGGGAGUAGAGACUGGUAAGUUAUCAGGGACUAUGGAGAAUGUGACUCCAAAUGCUUUUGGGACGCUAAGAGGGUAGCUAGGGUGAAAAAGGCCUUUCAUGUGUAUCAGCCUUUACAGUUAAGUCCAGUGACUGCAGGUGGGUGCAUUGGACUGGGUGGGGACCAAGGACAAAAGCUGGCAUGGAGGCCUGCUGCCAGAAAAGGAACAGAUAACUUAAUCUUUCUCCCCUACCCUUGGGGAACGGGAGAAAAGCUGAUGCCAAGGUGCCAGGUGUGACCACAUUGCUGGGACUCAGGGUACACAGUUUAACCCCAGGCAUCAUGAGGUGGAGCGAGGGGCUGCGGGCUGGCACUGGCCUAACCGUGAGGAAGGUUUAGAGAGAAGGGUGGGAAACUACAGCUCAGAAGCUGCAAGAGUUUUCUGUCUGCCUCUUCAGCCCCUGCAAAGUAAAACAAAACUCAAAUAAAAGUUGGACCUGGCAGAUAUUAAUACAACAGAGCCAGGGCUGCUGUGCACACAGCCAUCCGCUUUCCCCUUUCUGUUUCUAUAAGUGGCUGAAAUAAAUUUAGUGAAACUACCCCACCCAGCUGAGGGCCCAGGGUUUCAGAGCAGUGGGAUUUUUCACCCAGAAAGCUCUUCAUUUUCAAAGCUGAGAUCUUUUUGUUUGAAUUCUGUUGGGAAUGGAAUGCUUUUGACUUAAAAUAAUUAUUUUACCGCACUCACCUAUUCCUCACAGAUAAGUGCCUUGACACUGUAAAAGCUUGCUAGAAAGCUGGUCUAUAAAUGCUCUGCAGCUUAAAAUAGUGGAUGGUGUGGGGCCAGUGUCUUGGUGGAUCUCUGGGUAUUUUUUGCCAGAUUAGUUUCUGUGUUGUCUGAAUAUUUUCAGCCAAGUCCCCUCUUGUCUGUCAGGUAGGAAAGUAAGCUGGGUAAGUCGACAAAGCAGGCAAUAACUGGAUCUUCAUCUUUUCCUAGUGAGUACUUACUGAGGGCCUACUAUGUGCUGGGCACUAUGCCAGGCACUAAGGACUGAGUUGAGAGCUGGUUAAAAUCUGAAGUGACCAAAGACAACCAGCAAGGAACAUCAGAUUUAAUGUAGGAAGAUGGAAAUUUCCUUCCUAGGAAGGAACAAGGUGAGGGCCUCCUCACACCUGCUCAGCAAAAAUGCACUGGAAAGGAAGCUGUCUCUGUUUGCAGACAACGUGGUUAUCUAUAGUAAAAACAAAAUCUUCCAAGAAAUCUACCAGCUCAUACAUAGGAGACAAGACAAAAAAAAUCAACUAUAUUUCUAAAAGCUAGUAAUAAAUGGUUGGAAACAAGUAUUUAAUUACAAGAGUUCAAAAAAUGGGAAAUAUUAGGUACAAAGCUUAAAAACAACAACAACAACAACAAAAGCAUCUAUAUACCAGAAGCCAUUGUCAUAGGGUACAGGCUUACAAUCCUAGAACUCAGAAAGUGUUAGAGGAACAUUGAGUUCCAGACCAGGCUGGCCUACAGAGAAAGAAACACACUAUCUCAAGAAAACUCCAACCAGCCAAUCAUAAAAGCACUGAUUAAACAAAACAAGUGUGUGUGAGGUGUAGCUCAGCAGUAGCACACGUUUGGCUUGCUGGGUUCAAUGCCCAGCAGCCUCUUACUCUGUCUCCCACCAAUAAAUAAAUACAUUUGCCAUACUAUGCCAAUAUUUAUGGCUAGCAGAAUCUUAGAAAUGAUAAUAUUUUUAAAUGGGUGCUAUUCUGCGGGUUAGCCCCAGGACCCUGUGUACUGAAAAUGCUGUGGUUUGAAUGGGAAAUGUUCCCCCACGGACUCACAUAUAUGAGCACCUGCUCUCAGGUUAGUGGUGCUGUUUGGGAGGUUGUGGGGCUCUUAGGCUGUAGUGCUUUGCUAGAGAAAGUAUGCACUGGGGGUGAGCUUUGAGAGUCUGUAGCCUCACCCCUUUCAAUUUGCUGUCCCAGCUUCAUGUGGGAGGAAGGGUGACCAGCCAGUUUCACGCUCCAGCUGCCUGCUACCAUGCCUCCCCACGUCAUGGACUCUCCUUCUGUAACCAUAAGCCAAAAUAAACACUUUUCCCCCUCUGUAAAAAAAAAAAAAAAAAA